AUCUUUUCUUCUCAGCGCCAGCGUUUUUUCUCCGCCACAAUGCCUCUUCUCCUUCCUGGCUUCUCCACUGAAGCUCCUCGCCCUCUUUAUCUUCUCCGAUCCCUAUUAAAUCACGUCAGUGGAAAGGAUGCAUCGGCACCUUUGCCUCCUCCUCUACCGGUCUACCAUCCCCAUCUUCACGCCCAACUCGUUGUGCACCACUUGACCUGUGUCACUCGAUUCAUCUUCUUCUCCUCAACUGCAGGGCUCUGCAGCCCUCUCUCCCCCGCACUACCAUCACCUCCACCUAAUGCACCAGCGCAUGUCGCAUAUAGCACUAGCAGCAGCCGGCAGAAGCAUUGGCUUGGUCACAUUCGCCGGACUUACUCUCCUUCAUCGGCUAUGGGACAUGGGCCGAGCAGAGGUUCCGAUCCAUUGCCGCCCACCAGAUUGUCGAGGAGCUCAAGUGAAUCAGGCUACGUGCACGCCGUUUUCUCUCCUCCAGGCCCUCCUCGCGUAGGCGGCAUCGGAUGCGCAGGACGCAGCCAUCCCUGUCGCGACCCCGAUCUGUACGAGAAUUUCGAGUUCCCGCGGGAAGGAGAAGCUCACCGGGAUAGUGGUCUACCACGAGCGCCGCGUGUUUCUCUGCUGCAAGGGCCUUGACAAGUGCCGAGUCUGGCCGGCUCCUUGCUGCCGCCAUCAAAGCCCCCAAGCCUGUCCUGAAGAAAGCGUGAGCAUCUCUUCUCCUUCUCCCUCUCCCUCAAUUUGCUUUUUGAUUCGCUUGAUUUGGUGUUCUGAUGUGGUAGCUGUAUGCUUCUGCUAUGGUAGUGUUAUUUGGUUAUGUGUCUAGGAUGUUUAAAUUUCACAUGAUUAGGAUAUUAUAUGUUUCAUUACAUCUACAUAUGGAGGAACUGAGCUCUGCAUCGGAGCUUUGCCUUCUGACAGUACGUACGUCAUCUUGCUCUAGCACAUCGGCUUAAUGUACUGAUGCCACCGGUGGCGACCUUGGGUUCUGAUUGAGGCGUCAGCCAAGGACCAGGGAAUGCCAGUUCCUAAGUUUGGUAAAGUAAGUUCUGUUCAAUUUAGUUUUUCAUCAUGCUCGACCUUUUGGGCUGAAGUCGUAGGCAGCAAUACCCAACAAAGAUGGUCGCCUUUUAUACCCCUGAAAUUCGGUAAGUUUUUACAGGUUUCCUGUCGGCUGCUUAUAUUCAGAGCAAGUAACCACACGAUCUUCCAUCGGCAACUGCACACCAUUAUGUUUUAGGACGAUAUUUAAUCUGCUUCUUUCACAUUCAGUAUUCUACAGACAACUACUGGUGCAAUGAGGUUCAACCAUGUUUUUUGCCACCGUAUGUCUUGAUGGUACUGGCAUGGACACUAAAUGUGCAACUCACAUCUAAUAAUUAGUAUUUCAUAGUUCAUAGCGCUGAAUAGAAUAUUGUGGAUAUUACAUCUAUGUAUCUUAUCACUUGCUCUCUUUUUUUGCCAGCCUGUAUCAGACUGGUUAUUGCCAUUUCAAUAUACUUUGCGGCUUAAUUUUUUCAUCAUGCUAUAAGAAGCUUCAGUUGGAUGUUUUUGAGCUAGGAGUUCCAAAUAUUUUUUUUGCAGCUGCUAUGGAAACAAGUCCCCCAUCAGUUGAUCUCAGCUUAGGUAUAGUUGAUCUUUUUCUUUCUCAAUGCUAUUUUACUUCAUGCUUCGCAUUUUGCUCCAUGCUUCAGUUAGGUGAAUGAAUAAUGUCGUGAGUGAUCUUCGUUGGGAUGAUUGAGCUAAGGAAUAUUAUGGAGAUGGAACCUUUUAUCGGGUUAUUUGAGCUUGCGUUCACAUCCUUUUGUGGUUCAAGGCUUGAAACUGUUAUUUUCUGUUGGGUUUGCAUGAGCUAAGAUAAUAAGAUACAGAGAAGUCUUUCAUCCCUGAUUUGAGUUAUCAUAUAUUAGUAUCACAAAAUUCCUCGCAUAUAGGUUCUUUUCUAAUCAACGUGGCAUCAGUUCUAUGUUGAAGGACAUUACAAGAUUUAGGCAAGGAGUCAUCUCUGAUGGUCGACAUGCUAUUGCUAAAGGGUUCGCUUCAUCACUUGGCUUCCAUUUGUCACGAUUUUUGCCUUCUUCUUCCCUCUUCAUUUAUAUCAGAACUUGGUGUGAGUAAUCAUUUAUUCAUGUGGAUUUCAGUCUUCAAGUGUGAUUUGGGCCAAGAUCGACAUAAAGAUGCGUCCCUGUGUAGGGUAAAUGAGGUGUCAGAUCCAUAAUGCAAGCUUCAUCAAAGGUCAUCCAAAUUUGGCUAGAGGAACCGCUCAGGAUAUUUUACAAAUUACUAUUGCAGUUCCACUCCGAUUAUGGAGCAUGAGAUGUUAUCUCCAGAGACAGCAAAAAAAGACCUUGUGACAAGAUCACAUAAUAAAUGACACAAUAUUGAGUGUGCAAGGACAAGGGAAGAGUCAAUUUGAUGAGGACAUCAAUACCAUUGUUACACCCACAACCCCUACUACUAUACAUACUGGACCGAUUUCUAGAGCUCGCGCACGCCAAUUAAAUUACCAGGACCUAGCUUGGACAAGGAUGAACAUUGGAUCAAGGACAAGCAUGCAGUUGAUGGCAUGCGCAAGGAAGACAAGAACAGAGUUUCAAGUGAUGAUUUCAGGACUUUA